rnacentral:rRNA from 1 species
CUGGUUGAUCCUGCCAGUAGUCAUAUGCUUGUCUCAAAGACUAAGCCAUGCAUGUCUAAGUAUAAAUGUUAUACAGUGAAACUGCGAAUGGCUCAUUAAAACAGUUAUAGUUUCUUUGAUAAUCGAAUUUACAUGGAUAACCGUGGUAAUUCUAGAGCUAAUACAUGCUGGUUAGCCUGACUUCGAGGAAGGGCUGUAUUUAUUAGAUAACAAACCAAUAUUCUUCGUGUCUAUUGUGAUGACUCAUAAUAACUGAUCGAAUCGCAUGGUCCUUGACCGCGAUAAAUCAUUCAAGUUUCUGCCCCAUCAGCUUUCGAUGGUAGUGUAUUGGACUACCAUGGCUUUAACGGGUAACGGAGGAUUAGGGUUCGAUUCCGGAGAGGGAGCCUGAGAAACGGCUACCACAUCUAAGGAAGGCAGCAGGCGCGUAAAUUACCCAAUCCUGACUCAGGGAGGUAGUGACAAGAAAUAACGGACCGAGGCUUUGCUUCGGGAUUGCAAUGAGUAGAAUUUAAACCCCUUUACGAGGAUCCAUUGGAGGGCAAGUCUGGU